UGAAUCUCUCCAUAGCUCUCGUGUGCGAGUGUGCUCGUCUUCAAUCGGCGCCGGAGAAAAAUGUUGCAGUUCUCGAUUCGGCGAGUGAAGAAAUCGAGUGUUCUGAGGCCUUAGAUCUUUGCUCUUGGAAAUUAUCGUUUCUCCACCUCUGCUGAACCGUCUUCCAAGCCUAAUCCUCCGGUGAGGAAGCGGUUGUUUCUUUAAUUUUGUUUUUAUUUUCUUUUGAGUAGAGAUUGUUGAUUUCUUGAGCUUGUGGUUUGAAUGAGGAACUUUGUUUGCAUUGUUUGGUUUCUGAGAAAACGUCAGGACAGGACGUGGAAAGUAUGAGCUAUGCUAUUCUUUCUACGGUCCCAAAUUUGCUUCGUUUUUGUGUUUGUAAUUGUUUCUUGUAGAGACUGGCCUUCACUGCGUUAAUUUCUGAUUUGAAAUAGUCUUCUUAACUUCUUGAAGUUUAGGAAUUACUCUGUAGGUUGAAAGAAAGGGGAAAUUUCCUGAAAUUUUUUUUAGCUUGAUCACCAAUGUAGUUUGUCUUUCAAUUCAUGACCAUGAUAUCAUAUAUAAUGUCAGCGCAUACUUGUUUCAUCUAGCAUUGUUACGAAAGGCUGAUAUAUACUUCAUUUACGCAAGCCUUCUCAAUCCUCAGCAUUCAUAGAUGUCAUAAACCUAGUGAGUUACCAGAUCAUUUUUACGCACUCUUUUCUAUUUCCGAUUUGAGAAAGUUAAGUUCCUUUAGGUACGGGUACGAAAAUGUGCUUUUGUUUAUAGGCAAGGAAGUUGUUUCUCAAGUUCCAUUGACCACAAAUGAGGAAUUUAAAGCUGCAGUAUCUGCAGCAAUGCAGGCAUUUCCUGCUUGGCGUAAUACUCCAGUUACAACUCGUCAACGAAUUAUGGUCAAGCUUCAAGAACUCGUUAGGCGAGAUAUCGUAAGUUCGUUUUUCAGUAAAAGGAAUAUUCCAAAUUCACUUCAAAAGUGGAUUUUCCCCCCUCUCAUUUCAGGACAAACUUGCUCUAAAUUUUACAACAGAACAAGGAAAAACAUUAAAGGAUGCACAUGGAGAUGUAUCCCGUGGGAUAGGUUAUAAUCCUUUAGUUCCUUCCUCUCCCUGUAUAUGCUUAUGAUUAUGUGAUGGAAAAAUUCGUUUUAUCAUAUGGCCUGAGCUGAAUGUUCGAUAGAAAAUUGAAAUGAUUUAUCUUAUGUAGAGGUUGUGGAACAUGCAUGUGGAAUAUGCAUCGCUGCAAAUGGGGUAGUAUGUCUCUAAUGUGUCACAUGGAAUUGAUACCUGCAGCAUCAUAGAGCCUCUUUGUGUUUGUGCUGGGAUUUGUCCUUUCAAUUUUCCUGCCAUGAUCUCCCUAUGGGUUAGCCUGUUAUUCUUCACUGUCAUUCCAAUGGUUAUAAUUUCAGCAGUAAAGAAUUAGUUUGAUUUCUCAACGGCUGGAGUACGCUCGUUAUCUACUUCUUUUGUGGUGUAAAAGACUUGCUGCUAUGAAAGAUUUUUAUCCCCCAAAAAUUAAUUAUGAAGUAUUUUCUUCAUUCCAUACUGAUAUUAUCCCUCCAAUUAGCUUUUCUUUUUCUUAUGAUAAUAGACUGAUAGUGGCAAUAGUUGUGCCAUGGGAUAAUCCUCUGCAGAUGUUCCCAAUUUCUGUUACAUGUGGGAAUACCUUUAUUUUGAAGUCUUCAGAAAAAGAUCCAGGAUGUUGUUAAUGCCAUUUGUGACGAUGAAGAUAUAAAGGCAAUAUCAUUCGUUGGUUCAAACAUUGUAAGGUAUCUUUACUGAAAUAACUUUUACUUCAUGGAGUUGGCAAUCUCAAUACAUUCUAGGUUAAUUUCUACAACUGGUUCUUGUUGCAACAUACUAAAAUUCUAUUAUAGGAUAGGGCCCUUUCCACUUUUUGUUUUUAGAAUCUAGAUCUGAUAGUUUAGAUAUUUGUUCAUGUGGCCAUUGGAGUUUUACAAGUUAUUUAAUUGGUGAAACAUCCUCUUACAUUGGGACCUUGGCAUUCUUUACUUGGUCUACCAUUGGUACAAAGUGAUUUAAGUUUAGCUUUGUGGUUUUAUUGUUGCAGAUGACUGGUUUCAAUAUUAAGUUUAUUUUCCACA